AUGCAUGUUUUUUGUCCACAUAGCUACAACAUGUGCAGGCUAAUUCUAACUGCAGGUGCGUGUUUGAUCAUCGCUAACUUGGCUUCUUCAGCCAGUCUCACUGACACAGUUCUGACCACAAAAGCUCCCAGUGCCACUGACAAUUUCUGUGAAGGAAAGACGGAUGGGAAUUACGCCAACCCCAGUAACCCAAAUUCAUUCUAUGGCUGUUCUAAUGGGCUGACAAACAUCUUGUGGUGCCCAGAAGACCUGGUCUUCAAACAGAGUUGCAACUGCUGUGACUGGCCCAGAACCAGGUCUGAUGGACUCGCCAGAGAUUUCUGUAAAGGAAAGAAGAAUGGAAAUUACUUCAACCCAAGCAACAUCAAUUCCUUCUACAGCUGUUCUAAUGGGCUGACCUACAUCAUGAAAUGCCCAGAAGAUCUGAUCUUUAACCAGCGAUUAAACGCCUGUGUGUGGCCCUAGCUCUCUUUGUUAGAAACUAAUUAAUGUUGAUUUAAAGUAACUAAUUGAUCAAAUCUAAUUGAAUCAAAGUAAUUUCUAUAAUGAUCACGUUGUAUCAGUACAUAACGGCUUUUACUGUGAUUUUGCUUUCAUUUGUUGUUCAUUUUAGUUAAUAGCUUGGUUAAUCUGCCUGUUGUCCAACAAGAACCGUCUGCUCUCCGACCUUAUCUAACUGUCCUGAUGUAUCCAAGAAAAAAAUCCAGCAAGGUUUCCACUUGUACUGUGUGCCACUGUGUGUGUGCAUGUGUUUUUUGUAUUGUAUUGUUUUGUACUGCAACUUGCUUCCACAGUCAGAUUGGACAUGGCGCCAUAGACGGCUGCCUGGGUGUGCCAACACCAAGACAAGUUCCCAGUUCUGUAGAGUGCACUCUACAGGACCUGGCAAUAAAGCUCUUUCUAAUUCUGAUUCUGAUUCUGAA
ensembl:lncRNA chondroitin proteoglycan 2-like